GUCUUUUUGUAUUAAAUAUAAAGUUUAACCUGCCCAUUGAAAUAUAAUUAAAAGGCUGCGGUAUAUUGACCGUACAAAGGUAGCAUAAUCAUUAGUUUUUUAAUUGAAAACUUGUAUGAAUGGUUGAAUGAGAAAUUGACUUUUUUUUAUAAAAUAUUGAAUUUUAUUUUUUAGUUAAAAAGCUAAAAUAUAUUUAAAAGACGAGAAGACCCUAUAGAGUUUAAUAAUAUUUUUUUAUUAUUAAAAAGGUUUAUUUUUAUUAUUAAAAAUAAAUUUAUUUUAUUGGGGUGAUAAUAAAAUUUAAAUAACUUUUAUUUAUAUUAAAUAUUUAUAUAUAAUUAUUUGAUCCAUUAAUAUUGAUUAAAAAUUUAAAUUACCUUAGGGAUAACAGCGUAAUUUUUUUUUAAGUUCUUAUUAAUAAAAAAUUUUGCGACCUCGAUGUUGGAUUAAGAUUAAACUUUAGGUGCAGCAGCUUAAAUUUUAAGUCUGUUCGACUUUUAAAUUCUU
rnacentral:rRNA from 1 species